UCCUUGUGGUGUACGUGUGAGUCUUCUGUGUUUUCUUGGACGCUUAUUUGGGCUUUAGGUGAACCAAAACUCUCCCAAAGCUUAUCCACAGUGGUCAGCAGUGUUUGGUGAUGCCGCUUGAUACUCAUCACUCGCACACUGACAGAAGCAGGAAACAAAUGCCAUUCAUGAAGAGCGAACACCGGAACGAGUCGUCAAAUUUUGAAGUCAGCGGGGACACCAGCCAGACAACAGAGGACGGGACAAUUCUUUAGGCAACUGUUACGAACACACGGGAAUAAUCAAUGCAGCUAAGCAGAGCAUUACCCCUCAGCCUCGCUUUAUGUGAGAUUGUAACGAUCGCCACCACCACCACCACCACCACCACCACCACCACCACCACUUCCACCACCACCACCACCAUCACCAUCAAGAGGUGAAGUCCAAUCCCUUUUGGUGUUCCACGUGCCGAGCGAAUCCGGGGAGAAGGUGACUCAGGGCAUCUCGGCGCUGCUCUCCAUGACUGUCUUCCUCAUGACCAUCAGAGUCCCUGCCGCCCACUGAGAAGACACCGCUCGUCACCUGGCGUCCCCGCUCGGCCCCUUCCACGACUCGCAGCGAGAGAGAGAGAGGUCGAGGUGCGGUGGUCUUGUGGCGGAAGCCUGAAGGAGGCGGUGAAGGAGUGAAGAUGUUGGCAGCUCUGCGGGACCCCACAACACAGCGCCUCGCCACUCGCUGAUUGGCUAAACCUUGGCCGCUCACAUCUCGCGCCUCGCUGCCUGACGCAAGCCGCGCCGCUCGCCCGCUCAACACCACAGGAAGAAAUGCAUGGAAUCUGUAAGAGGUGUCAGGAAGGGAUUUGUGAACCCUUUGGUGGCAAUGCACAUUGUUCCUGCGUGUUCCUCUCCCCCAGCAGUGAUAAAGAUGAAGUAUUAUAAGCCUUUACCUCCCAAAUGCCGCCGUGCAGGAAGUUGGUGAAAAACGGCUUGCCAGCCACCGCCGCCUUCACCAUAACAAACUUAUUCCACGGUGUGUUUGCGCCACCGAGAGGAACUUAAAGACCCUCCUGCGCGCUUACAAAUGGUAUUCGAUUUUCACGUGUUUGGAAUGGAGUCUGCGAGGGAUAUUAAUACGAGGGGGCACUUGAGAAGGAAAUGAUAAAUAAUGGUGUUGAAAUGUUUACAUUAAAAUACAUAACGAGGCAGAAAAAA